CAAAAGCGGCCUGUAAUAGUUGGGUUUUGGCAGAGUUCAAAGACUGGGAAGCAAAGUUCAGCCAUGUUGGGCCUUUGGGCUCAUAGAUGAGCAAGGGUACCCCAAUAUGAGGGCUCAGCAAAUUCUGGAACUUAUCAGUUCUGAAGACCUUUAGAGGAGAAGGAGACAAGUAAAAGGUAUGUAGUCCUGGAGGGCGCUGCUUAAUGAACCAGAAGUCCUGCCUCUUAAGUACCUCACCAGCUCAAAUGUGUGCAUGUCACCUUGGCGUGAAUCGGAGCAGGCGCUGGUGGAUACCGUUUGGAGGCAUGCCAGCAAGGAGCUCCUUGUGUAGCCUGCCUCUGGAGCCUCAAGUUCAACUUCCAUAGGGCCAAAAGGGGAGUCGGGCUGGGCAGAAGCUCCUGAGAACCAAAGCAAAUGGUCUGAGAGUCUGAGAGUGUAGUGGAGGUAACGUGUUCGUGUCCUCUCUGGCUGCAUCACCCCAAGUCCUUGCAGACUCAAGUAGCCUAUUUGCAAGUUUAAAUAGUUUGAGUCCUGGCCGGUAACAAGAAUACUCUACAGUGGCCCAGAGUCAGGGAUAUAGAGUGGCGACUACUUGGCAGAACUGGAGCUUGCUCAGAUGAAAAGAUAAAUUGUACUGGUUAAACGAAGAUCAAGUGCAGGGUCUGGACUUUGUUUCUAUCUUUCAUGUGGACUCUAUAAGCACCUACACACAGCAUUCUAGAAACACUGCUCCCAUCCCUCCUGUCUCAUGUCAUCCUCCCAAUUCCGGGAGUUGGGGGGCAUACUCUUUCCCUGUGUCAUGUGAGAAAUUCCUUUCUCAUGGGAAGCAGGUGGCAUUCCUGGACUCUCCUUGGCCUGGCCGUUGGUAAGCACAGGAAUUCAAGGUGUCUGAAUCUCUUGUCAAAGGUGGGCUGUAAGGCUCCAGAAGAGGAGGACAGAAAGUGCCUGCAGAGCUCCUGCCUGAGGCCUUUGGAUGGGCCCUGCUGGCUUGCCGUGUGUGUGUGUGUGUGUGUGUGUGUGUGUGUGUGUGUGUGGUGUCGUGCUUAUUUGCCCCAAAUGAGGCAAGAGAGCAGUGAUCAGGUGUCUCCCCAGCAUCUAGUUUCAUGAAGACAAUAGAAGUGGGUCGGAUCAGGCCUGCUGCCAUGCUUGGCUUGCCCAUGUCUCCUAGGAUUGGCUGCCUGGUGGCCAUCCCUUUGCCAUCCCCUUGACUGCCCUGUGAAUGAUGUCCACUCUGAGACCCCAGGCCACUCAGAAAAACUGAAGAUUCUCAAGUUCAGGUGCAGUUAGGGGGCAGGUCCUGGUGGUGGGGGAGCUUUGAUGUUCUGCAGUUGGAGGAUCCUCUUUCAGAAUAGUAAUGCAAUUUGUGAAUUAAUAAAAUUAGGUAUGCAAGAGGAUAUGUAGAAAAGAAAAAUCACAAGCUACACAAUUUUUAAGUUGACAAAACUACGAACAUCACAAAAUAAUAUGAUAUUUUAAAUUAAU
rnacentral:lncRNA from 10 species